ensembl:lncRNA
AUUCAUUAUAUGGUCAUCAUGAAACCAAAGCUAUCACUUCCUGUGUGAAGUCCCUGCUACGCGAAUGUGCGGGGGUCUAGCCAUAUUUGAUCUUAACACACGACAGAGUACUGCCAUACACAGAGAUGUCAGAUAGUGUUGUUGGAUAUAUAUAUCAUUGUUAACUUCAUAUUGUCCAAAUAACAUUAUAUAAAAGCCUCACCUUGGCCUUGAUGAGCUGAGAACAAGAAGCUCAAGCACCACAGACACUCACUACUGGUGCAAAUGGCAGAUGUUUCUGGGUAUCUGGCCAUCAGAUGGAUAUUGUUGCAGAUAUUUUGCUAUGUCUGGAUUGUAUCGUCUGACGGGGGCACCAUCUCAAAGACAGUUGGCAGCAAAGGGAUUCUGCAUUGCAACAAGUUGAACGGUACACUCAACCAGCUUACGUGGAAAAUUAAUGGAUCCGUUCUAUUCAGCUACAAGCCCCAAAAAGACCCAUACAUUAAUAAAGAAGCUGAAAGACUGAAGAUAAAUAUAUCUGUGUCGGAAGAUGAACAACUCAGCCUGAUCAUAGAACGAGUUCAGAAGUAUCAUUCAGGAAACUACACCUGUGAGGUCGCCUCGUCUGAUGGAACGCUGCACUGGAACUGGGAGCUGCUAAUAACAGAGCACGAGGUUCAUGAUGAGGCUGAAAAAUGGAGGAUGAUGAUUCUCGUGGCAGUGUUUGUCCCUUGUGUGUGUUUCCUGGUGUCAAUAAUUAGCUGGGCCAUUCUGAGAGGAUGCAGUCGCCACAGAGAGGAUCGAAAUCAGCAUGCGACUACAGGAGUGGUAAAUACAAAAAAUGAUCUUAUCAUUUUGACUGAAAGGAGAAGUUUCUUUAGCUGCAUAAUGCACAAUCACCAACAAACUGCAGUCAUAGUUUCUUUUGGGAUCUGUUCUGAAUAA